rnacentral:sRNA from 1 species
CACCGGUGUCGACCAACCAGCCUUGGGU